rnacentral:rRNA from 1 species
AGUCGAACGAGAGAAUUGCUAGCUUGCUAAUAAUUCUCUAGUGGCGCACGGGUGAGUAACACGUGAGUAACCUGCCCCCGAGAGCGGGAUAGCCCUGGGAAACUGGGAUUAAUACCGCAUAGUAUCGAAAGAUUAAAGCAGCAAUGCGCUUGGGGAUGGGCUCGCGGCCUAUUAGUUAGUUGGUGAGGUAACGGCUCACCAAGGCGAUGACGGGUAGCCGGUCUGAGAGGAUGUCCGGCCACACUGGAACUGAGACACGGUCCAGACACCUACGGGUGGCAGCAGUCGAGAAUCAUUCACAAUGGGGGAAACCCUGAUGGUGUGACGCCGCGUGGGGGAAUGAAGGUCUUCGGAUUGUAAACCCCUGUCAUGUGGGAGCAAAUUAAAAAGAUAGUACCACAAGAGGAAGAGACGGCUAACUCUGUGCCAGCAGCCGCGGUAAUACAGAGGUCUCAAGCGUUGUUCGGAAUCACUGGGCGUAAAGCGUGCGUAGGCUGUUUCGUAAGUCGUGUGUGAAAGGCGCGGGCUCAACCCGCGGACGGCACAUGAUACUGCGAGACUAGAGUAAUGGAGGGGGAACCGGAAUUCUCGGUGUAGCAGUGAAAUGCGUAGAUAUCGAGAGGAACACUCGUGGCGAAGGCGGGUUCCUGGACAUUAACUGACGCUGAGGCACGAAGGCCAGGGGAGCGAAA